GCAUGGUCCACUGUCGAUUGGCACAGGAGCCACCCAAGUAUCCACAGUGGCCUUCGCAGUGGAGGUGGGGUUGCCACCGAGUAUCACGUCCAGCUUUUUGUAGAACCGGCAGCCCAUGGACGCAGCACUGUCUCAGUGGUUUG